GUAACAUGAUUUGCCUUCAGAGUGAUAAUGGUUAACUGCUGAGCUCAUAUUACAAAAGUAGAACAUUUGAAGAAAGAUGUUUAAUUUGAGAUGCUGUCUUUAUUUCUUUAAUAAGUCCUGUAUCUCUGCAUCUCUUGUGCCGGACCUCAUCUUUGCCUCUAGAAACCUUUGUGUGAUGCAGAGGGGAAGGUCAAGAGUUUUACUUUUUACGCUUCUAUCAUUUUUAGUCAACGUUAAGACUUGUCUUCUGUAAGGACGUCUCAUGUAUGCAUUCCCUGAUGACAUCAAGAUAAUCAUUUUAAUCAGGAAAGAAGGCACUAUUUGCCUAAACGUCAGCAGCCACUGUGAAAAUGAAAGCAACAUCAUUUUGAGAUUAAAGAACAGAAGGAAGGUUUUUCUUUAAAAAGAUGGUGACAACCCAUGAUUGAUGUCUUUUCUGCUUCUUGUGUGUGAUUUUCAUUUGUGUGAUGCAUUUAAGAUGUAGAAGAGAAGAAAUGCUCCUUUAGUCUUGUUUUUAAACUGAGACCUGCUGUAUCUGUUCUGGAUGCUUUGGAAAUGAGAAGAUUACACAAUCACAGUUUGUUGAAUCUACAUGAUGCGUUUUAUAUUUUUCUUGUUCAUUUGUGACGAGAGCAAAGGGGUGUUGCAACUACUGGCAGGAAGUGUACGGUACCUAUAAAGAAGAGGAAGGAUGUGAGGUCAGAAUGUAAGAACCAAUCAGUGUGAUGGCUAACUUAUAGCAGCCUAUGAACGUUUGGAAAAGGGCUGAGGUCCUUCCUGCCCAUUAUUAUUUCAGUUGCUGACCCCAGAGCUCAAGAAGAAUUAGGGGAAAAUAAAGAAGGGGCGAAAGAGGAGAAAAAGGGGGAACUUUUGGGGGCUUCUGUUUUUGCAUUUGUUGAAAAUAAAUCAGUUUCUCUUUGGGUGCACGGCUGAAGAAACUAGAAAGA